GGGGAUAUAAGGUAAGCUUUUUUCAUACACUGGUUUUCCUCACUUCGCUUUCUGCAGCACUUUAUGCUCUUUCCUGCCAUGUAACACACAAGCAGCGGCAAUAAAUCCUGAAGACGACACUAGAUCUUGAAACGAGCCGUUGAGAAUUUGCCAUGCUGCAUAUUUAACUAUUGCUUGAUCAUGUAAUUUUGUCACGGACUAUUAAAAUCCCUUUUUUUCAGUAACAUGGAGAGACGUGCCAUUUGCUUAUUCAGCAAUAGAGGGACUAUUCAAACAUAGCAAGGGCACCCAGGCUACUUUUCUUUUUCUCAUAUCAGGAGUGCAGGAUGAUUUAAAGAUAAAUAUAUAUCUAUAUAUAUCUAUACAGUCCAUGUGUGAAGUGACGUAGGAUGGCGUCACCCCAGCUGCACCAGACGGAGCGGGCGGCGUCCCGCCGGCCAAAAGCAGCAUGAGCACAGGGUGAUCAGCAGCCUUUAAAGUGUCACCUAGCAACAACUUGCUGACAUACAGUAUAUUUCCGGCGUCUCUGUUCCAGUGAUCCAGGACGUGGUGGGAGCAGCGGCACGGGACAGUAACGAACUUACAACAGAUAAGACCUUUGUUAUGAGCACCAAGAAAACUCCAAAAGAAGGAACAUUUUAUGGUACCCAUUUAGGAGAUGAGGUGCUUAGCUACAGCCUCCUUUGGCUGGGAUCUCUGACUGAUUAUUGGAAUUGACCUUAAGUUUUGCGUAGCAUAUGUACCAUUGAGAAAGUAAAGGUGAAACUAGCAUAAAGACAUGCUCCAACCCACCCUUUGUACUGCAUGCAGUGACCACUGGCCAGGCUGUGGGGAAGAGGGGAUUCUGGGCAACUGGAAACCCCAUGCUUUUGCAUAUGACGUGCAAGUGAGUAUAAAAUGAGAAUUUUUGAGAACGGUUUUAUGAAAAUCAUGUGUGUUUUUUAUUAUUAUUAUUAUUAUUAUUAUUAUUAUUAUUAUUAUUAUUAUUUGGGCCAAAAUAUUGCAGGAAUGGUGCAUUUAUUUCCAAUAAAAUUUUAGCCUUACAGAAAGAAAUUGGAAACAUUAUUAUAGUUGCAAAAACAAAGAGAGCUGCACAAGAACUUAAACACUCAGCCUGGGUAAAUGCCUGAAUGAUGCAUUCAUGUAAUGUAAUGAUUUAUCGUAUUACAUAAAAUAUACAUUACCGGGGUAAUGUUACCACACCGCAUUGUAAGUCGCAUUAUCCCAUUUGACCUGCAAAAAAUCACAUGGGAAGAUGCCACUAAACAAUUUAACAAAUGAUGAAUAGAGGGUACACACUCUAUGAUUGAGGGUACACACUCUAUGAUCGAGGGUACACACUCUAUGAUUGAGGGUACCCACUCUAUGAUUGAGGGUGCACACUCUAUGAUUGAGGGUGCACACUCUAUGAUUGAGGGUGCACACUCUAUGAUUGAGGGUACAUACUCUAUGAUUGAGGGUACACACUCUAUGAUUGAGGGUACACACUCUAUGAUUGAGGGUACACACUCUAUGAUUGAGGGUACACACUCUAUGAUUGAGGGUACACACUCUUUGAUGCAGAUCACAUGAUUGGCAGAAAUUUUUGUAUCGUCUGUACCCAGCUUUAGCUUGUUAUGAUUGGCUGUCACAGGAAACUAUUCAGUGACAACUGUAUAGAAUAAGUAUAGGAAUAUAUUGUUGUUAUUGUGGAAUAUUGAGCAAUAUAUUGUCUUCUGAUAUGAUUGGUUAAAACAUGCCUUCACACGCUGUAGGUGAAACAAUGUAAACUGCAAGGAAAUUUGUGAGUCUCACUUCAGAAUUUACAGUAUAUGCUUAUCUGAUUGCCAGUUUGUGUUAAGAAAUAUAAAUCUUCAACAUGUAUAAAUUAAAA